rnacentral:rRNA from 1 species
UACGGGGGGAGCAAGCGUUGUUCGGAUUUACUGGGCGUAAAGGGCGCGUAGGCGGCGCAACAAGUCACUUGUGAAAUCUCCGGGCUUAACCCGGAGCGGUCAAGUGAUACUGUCGUGCUAGAGUGCAGAAGGGGCAACUGGAAUUCUCGGUGUAGCGGUGAAAUGCGUAGAUAUCGAGAGGAACACCUGCGGCGAAGGCGGUCUGCUGGGCAGUUGCUGACACUGAUGCGCGACAGCGUGGGGAGCAAACAGG